AUAUGUUUUAAGAAAUUGUGACUAUUUCAAGCCAAUUGAGAGUAUGUUCGAGGAUUUUCUUUCAGCAAAAUAUCCAGGACUUCCCGAGAAGGAACUCUCCGCCAAAAGAGCAGACGAAUAUCAUUUAUGGGUUAAAGAAUAUGUUACUUACUGGAACGCCACAAAUCCAUUUCCUACUUGGGUUCAAGAGAUAGUGCAUGGACCUUUGAACAAGGUCAAA